UACGUAGGGCGCAAGCGUUAUCCGGAAUUAUUGGGCGUAAAGAGCUCGUAGGCGGUUUGUCGCGUCUGCCGUGAAAGUCCGGGGCUCAACUCCGGAUCUGCGGUGGGUACGGGCAGACUAGAGUGAUGUAGGGGAGACUGGAAUUCCUGGUGUAGCGGUGAAAAUGCGCAGAUAUCAGGAGGAACACCGAUGGCGAAGGCAGGUCUCUGGGCAUCAACUGACGCUGAGGAGCGAAAGCAUGGGGAGCGAACAGG
rnacentral:rRNA from 1 species